rnacentral:lncRNA from 1 species
GAUGCUGCAGCUCGAGUCACUGAACUGGGCGAGGCAGUGGCUACUCUUCAGCACCACGAUGGCAUCACGGGCACAAGCACGGAAGAUGUGGCCCACGACUACGCCAACACCCUUUACCAAGGCAUCAGGAAAUGCGAG